CAGAAGCUUAAAUUGUGGUAAAUAUAACGUUUUCGGUGGACACCGGUCUGUCUGUCUGUUUAGUUUCCGGGUCAGCGUCUGACCCCGGAAGCAAAACAACACGCACAAACUCGCGCUACAUUCUCCCCGCAGCGUUUAGCUGUUCCCUACUGAUUCAAACAGGGCUAAGCGACCGCCACACAAUCCCCAUUUCUCCAGACCAUAAUUCUUGUUUGUAAAAGAAAACAGCCCAAACUGAUUCAAUUAUCCGGACCCUAAACCCACGCAGGACGGUCCUGAUCCUCGUUCCGUUCCGAGGCGGAGCUCUGCGGGUCGUCCAGACGCUCAUCAGCCUGCUGGAGACCAAAGGCAAGAAGAUAGUGGUCAACAACAAGAAGAGGUUCAAGGAAGAGUUCGGCAAAGAGGCAGAUGACAAGCCGCCCAAUCAGCAGAGGCCAGACGAUUACAGCGCCAUCUUCUCGGGCAACGUGGACGAUCACUUCAAGAUAGGCGUCUCCAUUGUGAGCAGCAGCAUACGCCUGUACUCCCCCUUUUAUUCAUCGGACAUCAUCAUCGCGUCACCGCUGAGCCUCCGUACGGUGCUGGGAGCAGAAGGAGAAACAUGUGAUGAAGCACAUAAACCUGCAGCCGCUGGACUCCCAUGGAGUGGACUUCUCCAGGGUGAGGAUGUGAAACCUGAACAACUGGGCCAGACACUACCGGCAGACGCUGGUGUUCAGCUCCAUCCAGGACCCACAGAUCACCAACAUCCUCACCAAGCACUGCGCCAACUACCGUGGAUGGGUACUCAUUACAGUAACAUUAAACCUGCUCCUAGGACUGAGCGUUCAGCACGAAAACGGGUUCCAUCUGCCAGGUGCUGGUUCAGCUGUUCAGCUGUUGUUUCAGAUGUUCAGAUGUGACGCUUUUAAUGCUGCUUUUGAGUGUAUUAUUGACAGGUACAGGUAUGGGCUACCCGAAGAGGAGGAGGACCCUGAGAUCGAUGUCGUCAGCCUUGAGGACUCCUCCACAAAACGACGCAGGGAAGAGAGCGACGACGAGGAGGAGGCUGCUGCGAAGAGGCCGAGGUGGUCCGAAGAGAGCGACUCGGAUUGACUCUACGAUGGGACGGGCUGACAUUGUGUUCCCUUUGGCCGGAAAAAGUAAGUAGGAGCUUCUGUUUUGUUGAGAAAGUGACCUAGAAUAGUCUAAAAUAUAAAAACAAAGUAAUAUUAUGUAACAUACCUACAA